GGCCUCAAAUAAUGUGUGACUACCCC
rnacentral:rRNA from 11 species